AUUGAACGCUGGCGGCAUGCCUUACACAUGCAAGUCGAACGGCAGCGCGGGCUUCGGCCUGGCGGCGAGUGGCGGACGGGUGAGUAAUGCAUCGGAACGUGCCCAGGAGUGGGGGAUAACGUAGCGAAAGUUACGCUAAUACCGCAUACGUACUGAGGGAGAAAGCGGGGGAUCGAAAGACCUCGCGCUCAUGGAGGGGCCGAUGUCGGAUUAGCUAGUUGGUGAGGUAAAAGCUCACCAAGGCGACGAUCCGUAGCUGGUCUGAGAGGACGACCAGCCACACUGGGACUGAGACACGGCCCAGACUCCUACGGGAGGCAGCAGUGGGGAAUCUUGGACAAUGGGGGAAACCCUGAUCCAGCAAUGCCGCGUGUGGGAUGAAGGCCCUCGGGUUGUAAACCACUUUUGGCAGGAAAGAAAUCGCCUGUGCUAAUACCAUGGGCGGAUGACGGUACCUGCAGAAUAAGCACCGGCUAACUACGUGCCAGCCGCCGCCGUAA
rnacentral:rRNA from 1 species